AGACAUCGAAGAGGUUGCAACCGCGAUGAGUAAGUUAGUCGAGUUCCUGUGUGGACAACGACGCUAACCGAAAGGCAAGGUUGCCGAAGCGCUUCAGCUACACAGGCUGGGGUAAGCUGGGACAUCGUUCAAUAGGCGAUGGACUGUCACGAUUUAAUCGUGUUGCGCUUUCGACAUUU
rfam:Fructobacillus fructosus KCTC 3544 strain DSM 20349 Scaffold2, whole genome shotgun sequence.